AUGGUGCAUGUUAAAGAAACUGGAUCUGUUAUUAACAGGAAGCAUUUGCUUGUCGUCGAUUGCUACUCACUGAAAACCAGCUUGGUUUUUGCCUUUCGUUUAUGUUAGGAUCCCCAGAAACAGAUCCCCAGAAACAGAUCCCAAGGCAAGGAUUCAUGUGCAAAGGGAUCCUAGGAGGAACUGGAAGGGAACGGUCAAGUCAGACACAAGGGGAAGUACAAACAAUUGCAAGGGCAAUUUCAGGGAGUGUCCACAGAGGGUAGGUCUGGUAGGCACUGCUCCUCAGAAUUUGCAACUACCCCAAGCACAGAAGCUGGGCUUUCACUCUUACAACCACCAAUCAUUAGCUAAAGGGGUGGCAACAUCAGGAACCCUGGUUCACCACAUGUGAGGGGAAAAUGGUACCAGUAGCCCCCCAAAAGGCAUCCAUGGAUGGUCUCCGGUGCUGGAAGUUAGAAUCAGAGGCACACAGAACCUGGAAGAGAGGUGCAUGGAAAUAGGAAAGGGGUAGGGGUUAUGAGAGCACCUGGGUGAAGCAUGGACCCUGGUGGUCAUAACUUUAUUUUCUGACUUCUGGAGGACAUUAGCCCUGGUCCAAUUAGCCCCAAUAAAUAAGAAGAAGUUUAGAGAAUUUACCCACCCAAAUUUGGCUAAUGGGAGGGCUUGGGGCCAAGCUUUGGGGUCAGCCUCGUUCAAGCAAAAAUCUCAGCCUAUCUUUUUACAGCCUGUGUGACUUUGGGCAACUGAUUUAGCCUCUGUGACUUUAAACUUCUCGUUUAUAAAUUGGGAAUAAUGAUAUACUUUGUAUAGGUUUGUUCUCGGCUGAGAUGUCUUUAUGUUUACUGGUUGAUCUGAUAAUAUACAUGCUGAGCAGCUGCAGUAUACACACUGUCAGCUCAGGGCUAAGCCUUGGUACCCUGAAAUGAAUCCAACACUAUCCUGCCCCAAGAUCUUGGCGCUGAGUGGAGGCGGCAGACAUACACACACAUCAAAGCCUCUGUCCUUCCUUGUACACUCUCCCUCUCUCUUCCCAUCUCCCUCUCUGUGUUUUAUUUUUUGAUCUUGUCUCUUCUUCUCUCCUUCCUUUGGCCCCAUUUCCUUCCUCCUUCAUUUCUUCUCUAUGUUUCUGUCUUGCAUCUUCCUACAGACCUAGUUUUUUUGUUUUUUGGUUUUCUUCUAUCAGCUGGACGAUAUCCAACCUUCCGCCCUGUGAACUUUCUGCCUCCUGCUGUUGUUUUCCAAGGGCCCUUCUGAAGGUUGCAGAGUCUGUGAAGUUCUGGGAAAUUUAAUUCAAUCCGGACCCAUAGGUGUGACAGAAGGUGACUUGGAGAUAACAGAAAACCAGCCAGAGCUUCAGUUAAAGCUUGGGUCUGGGGAGGGUAGAAGGGGAGGGAGUGCAACUAGCACCUCCACGUGGGAAACCCUGGGGACUUACAAAUAGAAUAUGUGGCAUAUUACUUUGGGGCGCUGCGGUUGCAGUCAGGGGAGGGUCUGGACAAAUGGUGAUUUCCCUGCUUUUUUGCAGAUGGGGAGUGUCUCCCAAGUGCCCUGCUUAUCCCAGUUAGGCAAUUCAUAGCUUUAAUUCUAGCUCUAACUAGCUGCAUGAUCUUUUUUGUUUUUAAAGUUUUUUUGAAGUAUGGUUGAUUUGCUAGGUUGUCAUGAUUUCUGCUGUAGCUGCAUGGCCUUGAAUGUUGUUUUCCUCAUCCAUGUGAUAUAGAAGCUCUGACCUUUUAGGACUGCUCUGGUCCUCUUGGCCGGAUAUUCUGCUUUCAAAAAUCUCUGAUCCUGAUUUUCCUUCUGGCACAGUGAGUUAAGGCUCCAGUGUUGUCACUGCAGCGUGGGGAAAAAAAAAAAAUCUCUGAUUUCUUCCCACAUUGUGCCUCAGUCUUGGAAUGUCACCCACGAGGUGUUCCUAUAACAACGAUUUUUUUUUUUCAUUCUAGGAUUCUGGAGGUUGAAUAACUUAGGUUUUGAGAAAGAUCUCAACCCAGGGCCCUGGAGACAAGACUCUGUAGGGUGGAACUCAGGUACCGUUGUACUGUGAUGUUCAGGGCAGCUGCUCUAGGAGGAGAGGGCUUGUAUAAGACAGUACUCAGCCUCAAAUAUCAUAAUUCAGUAGGUCUGGGGGCCCUGGAAACAGUAUUUUAAGAAACACAUCAGGAAUCCUCAUGUGGUAGUCGAUGGACCACAGUUUGAGAAUCACUUCUAGGCAUCUGGGCUUACCUCUGUCCCCAGUACUCCAGUGCAGUUAUGAAAGGUCUCUGAGCAUCUUUUCCUGUCUGCACUGUCUUCACCCCUGCCCUGUAUUCUGCAUGAUUUCUAUCAGGCACAGUUGAAAUGGCAAAUGAAAAAACUCUAAGAAUCAAAGAUGGUGGCUUUCCUGUGUGACAUUACACCAGCCCCAAGGUCCUACCUCUCAGUUCUCAGAGACAGAGACACUUCAGGCAGAGAAUAUUUGAAUGACACUUCAGCCUCUCACCCACCUCCUACACCAGACAUCACUUAAGACCUGCUUCCCUUCCCUUUGGUCAGUUGUUUUUACUUUAGUCCUGGCUAUGGCAAACAGCCAAGCAGGUAAACCUGGAUGGCACCUGGUCCAGGUGUGCUGAUAGCUCCUACUUUCUGUCUCAGCUCCUUUCUGCCUCCAUCAGGUAGGAUAAUGUCAGGAACCAGCCCAGUCCUUCUAAAGCAUGUGCUGUGGUUGGGUGUAUAAGGGGUUAAUGGUCCAUGGGCCAAGGCUUGGCCAACGGGAUGGGAGGUAGGGAGGCACAUUCCCCACUCUGUCGCUUGAAAGACAAUUCUGACCGCCUUCUCUCAGCUCCUCAGAGGUCCUUGUGGGCUGGAGCCCACCUCCUCACAGUGGUUUUCAGGUCCGUAAAGCCCGCUGUGCUUGGCUUUGCUCCUUUCCUUCUCAGUCCCUACUCCUUUUCCUUGGGAUCACCUCCUAAAAUAACCAUAAAACCAAGAAGAAACGGAUACGUUUCUAGGAACAGACAGCACCAAAACUGAAUCAAGAAGAAACAGACAAUCUGAACAGACCAAUCACUAGAUGUGAAAUAAAAUUCAUAAUUUAAAAAAAAAAAGCUACCAGCAAACAAAAGUCAAGGGCUGGAUGGAUCGCUUCACUAUCACACAUAACAAAGAAGAAUUUCUACUGAUCCGUUUUAAACUCUUCCAAAGGACUGAAGAUGAAGGGACACUCCCAAAGCCAUUCUAUGAAGGCAUCAUCACCCUGAUUCC
rnacentral:lncRNA from 1 species